rnacentral:rRNA from 1 species
UACGGGGGGGGCAAGCGUUGUUCGGAUUUACUGGGCGUAAAGGGCGCGUAGGCGGCAAUUCAAGUCAUCUGUGAAAUCUCCGGGCUUAACUCGGAAUGGUCAGGUGAUACUGCUUUGCUAGAGUGCAGAAGGGGCAAUCGGAAUUCUUGGUGUAGCGGUGAAAUGCGUAGAUAUCAAGAGGAACACCUGAGGUGAAGACGGGUUGCUGGGCUGACACUGACGCUGAGGCGCGAAAGCUAGGGGAGCAAACGGG